ensembl:misc_RNA Metazoa_SRP Metazoan signal recognition particle RNA
GCCAGGCGUGGUGGCUCACACCUGUAAUCCCAGCACUUUGGGAGGCUGAGGCAGGUGGAUCACCUGAGGUCAGGAGUUUGAGACCAGCCUGGCCAACAUGGUGAAACCCUGCCUCUA